UACGUAGGGAGCAAGCGUUGUCCGGAAUCAUUGGGCGUAAAGCGCGCGUAGGUGGCCACAUAAGUCCGUUGUGAAAGUCAAAGGCUCAACCUUUGAAAGCCGAUGGAUACUGUGUGGCUAGAGUACGGAAGAGGCGAGUGGAACUCCUGGUGUAGCGGUGGAAUGCGCAGAUAUCAGGAAGAACACCAACGGCGAAGGCAGCUCGCUGGGACGGAACUGACGCUGAGGCGCGAAAGCGUGGGGAGCAAACAGG
rnacentral:rRNA from 1 species